AUUGCACGCUUGCGGCAUGCUUAACACAUGCAAGUCGAGCUAGCGGCGGCCGGGUGAGUCAUGUCUUGGAAACUGCCUGAUGGAGGGGGAUAACUACUGGAAACGUUAGCUAAUACCGCAUCCCAUCCGAUGUGCCCAGGUGGGAUUAGCUAGUAGGGGGGGUAAUGGCUCACCUAGGCGACGAUCCCGAGCUGGUCUGAGAGGAUGACCAGACACAAUGGAACUGAGAAGCGGUCCAGACUCGUACGGGAGGCAGCAGUGGGGAAUAUGGCACGAUGGGCGCAAGACUGAUGCAGACAGGCCGCGUGUGGGAAGAAGGCAGUCGGGUUGUAAAGGAAUUGCAGCGGGGAGGCGUUACUCGCAGAAGAAGCACCGGCUAACUACGUACCAGCAGCCGCGGUAAUAC
rnacentral:rRNA from 1 species